rnacentral:rRNA from 1 species
GUGAGGAAUAUUGGUCAAUGGACGAGAGUCUGAACCAGCCAAGUCGCGUGCAGGAAGAAUGUCCUAUGGAUUGUAAACUGCUUUUGCAGGGGAAUAAAGUGCAUCACGUGUGAUGUUUUGUAUGUACUCUGCGAAUAAGGAUCGGCUAACUCCGUGCCAGCAGCCGCGUUAAUACGGAGGAUCCGAGCGUUAUCCGGAUUUAUUGGGUUUAAAGGGUGCGUAGGCGGGAUAAUAAGUCAGUGGUGAAAGUUUGCAGCUUAACUGUAAGAUUGCCGUUGAAACUGUUAUUCUUGAGAGUAGAUAAGGUAGGCGGAAUGUGUUGUGUAGCGGUGAAAUGCAUAGAUAUAACACAGAAUCCCGAUUGCGAAGGCAGCUUACCGGGCUACAUCUGACGCUGAUGCACGAAAGCGUGGGGAUCAAACAGGAUUAGAAACCCUGGUAGUCC